AUGGUCUCACUGCCUCCCCUGCUCUGCCUUGUGGUGCUCUGGGUCCAGGGUUCCUCCGGGCAGGUUGUGGUGACUCAGACCCCAGAGUCCCUGGCGGUGUCUCCAGGAGAUCAAGUGACCAUCAAGUGCAAAGCCAGCUCCAGCUUUACUUAUAGUAGCUAUCAGGUCUUAGCCUGGUACCAGCAGAAACCUGGACAAGCUCCAAAGCUCCUCAUCUAUCGUGCUUCCACACAGCAGUCAGGGCUGCCAGCCCGGUUCAGCGGCAGUGGCUCUGGCACUGAUUUCACUCUCACCAUCAGCAGUGUUGAAGCUGAAGAUGCCGGAGAUUAUUAUUGUCAGCAGACCCACACUUCACACAGUGAUACAAUCCCAUACAAAAACCUGCCAUGCUGCCCAGCCCAGCACCACAACUGCUUGCUGAAGAGACACGUGAUCGACACAACUGCUAUACUCAGUACCAGCUCAGGGGUUUCCACAGGACAUCACUGUCUGAGACACAGAUACCGUCACACUUCCUCUGUGGCCCAGCCUGCAGGAGAUACCAGCCCAGCUGUACAGGCUUUGGGUGGGGGGCAGACCAAGACCCCCAUGGUGGAGGAGGGAGUGCAGUACGGACAGGGCAGCUAUUAUCAACCACAGCAUGUCUUAGAAGAAGCAGCCUGCUACCAACAGCGAGGCAGGACAAGCUCCUCCGCUUCUCCUUUGCAGUGA